GCCACUUUAGCUCAGCUGGUAGAGCAACGCAUUCGUAAUGCGUAGGUCGUGGGUUCGAAUCCCAUGAGUGGCU
rnacentral:tRNA from 1 species